rnacentral:rRNA from 1 species
UGAUAGCUGGUUCUCUCCGAAAUGCAUUUAGGUGCAGCGUCGGGGAUUACGUCCGGGGGGUAGAGCUACUGGAUGCUUGAGGGCCCGUAUCGGGUACCGACAGCAGCCAAACUCCGAAUACCCGUGACGCGUAUCCCGGCAGUGAGUCGGCGGGGGAUAAGCUCCGUCGUCGAAAGGGAGACAGCCCAGAUCGUCGUCUAAGGUCCCCAAGCGCGUGCUAAGUGGGAAAGGAUGUGGAGUCGCAUAGACAGCCAGGAGGUUGGCUCAGAAGCAGCCAUCCUUGAAAGAGUGCGUAACAGCUCACUGGUCUAGUGGUUCCGCGCCGACAAUGUAGCGGGGCUCAAGCACGCCACCGAAGACGCGGCAGCGUCCGUUUGGAUGCUGGGUAGGAGAGCGUCCCCAUCGGGGCGAAGCGGCGGCGCAAGCCUGCCGUGGACCGUUGGGGAGUGAGAAUGCAGACAUGAGUAGCGAGAGGCGGGUGCGAAUCCCGCCCGCUGGAUGACCAAGGGUUCCGGGGCCACGUUCGUCGUCCCCGGGUGAGUCGGGUCCUAAGGCGAGGCCGACAGGCGUAGUCGAAUGGAUGAACGGGCUGAUAUUCCCGUACCGGCAGCGAACCGAAACAACCGAGGCCUGGGGCGCUAACCUCCGGGUCCGUGCCGUCUCCCCUUUCGGGGGGUCGCGGCGCGGGCGCGUUGGGAUCCCCCCUCGUAGUAGGUCAGCGCAGGAGUGACGCAUCAGGGCAGCCGGCCGCGGAGGUGGUUUUCCGUGGUCAAGCGUUCGAGCCCGUCCCGCAGGCAAAUCCGCGGGGCGUCGGGGCGAGGCGUGAUGAUGGGGGCCUUACGGCCCGAAUCCGGUGAUCCGUGGUGCCGAGAAAAGCUUCGGCGUCAGGCGCGUUGCCGCCCGUACCCCAAACCGACACUGGUGGUCAGGUAGAGAAUACCAAAGCGAUCGAGCGAAUCCUGGUCAAGGAACUCGGCAAAUUGCUCCCGUGCCUUCGGCAUAAGGGAGACCCCCUGCGGUGAUGAGCGGCGGGGGGUGGCACAGGCCAGGGGGUAGCGACUGUUUACCAAAAACACAGGAGCGUGCGAAGGCGCAAGCCGCUGUAUACGCUCUGACGCCUGCCCGGUGCCGGAAGGUUAAGAGGAUCCGUCAGCUUUCUGCGAAGCGGUGAAUUCAAGCCCCGGUAAACGGCGGUGGUAACUAUAACCAUCCUAAGGUAGCGAAAUUCCUUGUCGGGUAAGUUCCGACCUGCACGAAUGGCGUAACGACUUCCCCACUGUCUCGACCAGGAGCUCGGCGAAAUUGCAGUACGAGUAAAGAUGCUCGUUAAGCGCAGAAGGACGAAAAGACCCCGGGACCUUUACUAUACCUUGGUAUUGGCAUUAGGCGCGGAUUGUGUAGCAUAGGCGGGAGGCUUCGAGGCGGGUGCGCCAGCAUCCGCGGAGCCGCAAGGUGAAAUACCGCUCUGUUCUCGUUUGAUGUCUAACCUCGAACAGUCAUCCUGUUCAGGGACAGUGCCU